rnacentral:lncRNA from 1 species
UGUACAGCAACCUGGCUGCGAUCUAUGAUGCCAUGGGAAGGUAUGUCUUGAAAACACAAACUAGAUUCUUCUGCAACCCCUAGUCAUUUUAUUCAGAACCUGAUCAUAUCUUGUAGUGUAAUGCAUGUAUGAUCUCUAAAUUGUUGGCAUAUGCUUGUAUCUUCUCCUCAUUGUUUACAUCUGUAGAUUAACGCCCAUGCCCCAUGGUUUUAUUGUGCUAUAUCUGAAGGAAUGAGCAGUAGGUUGUACUUUGAAGUUCUAAUGGUUUCUAAAAUCUUUAAUGUGGUGGGUGGCUAGAUUUAAUUAUUCUAUGCAAGGUUGCUCAAUUUAAUUGCAAACAGCCCAUAUAUAAAUCUUGACGAAUCAUGCUUUGAUCUUCACUUCCUCCAUGUGAGGGCAUCAUUCUGUCUUAGUGGUCCAUCAUCUAGACACCAACAUGUUGCUGCAAGCUAAUGAUUUACACAACUUGGUCUAAAUUAAUGGCAAGUGACCCAUGAGUUCCAAGCUAACACACACUGGACCUGUUACUGGGGCUGUUGAAUUUAGGCCUAAGCAAACAUCUACAUUUAUGAUUUUGUUUUUUCCUUCAGUCCUAUAUGACCACCUUUGUCUCUUCAGCAUAUGAUUGCAUUUCGCCUGUGAUCUUGGCAUCGGCACAACUGCGACUGUUGAAUUGGCAGUGUGCAUAAUGAAUUUAGGAUCUCUAUGGUUACACAUAUGCUUGUAACAGCAUUUAGCACUCAUUGCUUACAGCUGUAGGAGUAAUGGAGCUGAUUUUGUUCUGCUCUCUGAAGAGAUGAACAUGUGGGGUCCGCUCGUAAAUUAUGAUGCUUUGUUAAAUGUUGAACAGGCCGGUGGGUGGGGGUGGGCUACCUAAUUUAAAUUGCACACAUCCAAGAGAUUGCUUGCUGAAUUAUCGGUUGGUCAUUCCUGCCAUCUGAGGGCAUCUUUUUAUUUUAGUGGUCCAUCAUCUAGUUGCCCACAUGUUG